GCUCCUGUAGCUCAGCGGUCAGCGUUUGUCUUUGUCUUUUCUUCAGCGUUUAUUCUUAUCCAGCGAUUGUGAACAAGGCCAAGCGAAAGACGUCGGUUCGAAUCCGACCGGGGGCA